UUUAAUACUUGAGCCAUAGUGUCACCUCAUUUUACAUUGACUUGAAACUACAACUGUGGCUUGUCCGACUAAAAUAAGGGGCUGAUAUGCUCUGUAGUUAGUUUUUCUUUGUUAUAUUUUUCGUCUCUUCUGCCUUAUAAGAUUUUCAUAUUAGAAGAAAUAGUGGGAGAAGAAAAACUGGUAAGAAAAAACAAAUGAAGAAUGGGUUAUUUAACUGUAAAUUUUUAUAGUUAUGUUUUUUGUGCUCCUAUGAAUGCACUUCAUGCUCAAUUUUAUAUUGGCAGCAGGGUCAUUUUUAUUGUUAUAUUUUAAUCUGUCUUGUCCAUUCUCUCAUUUAUGGAUUCUUUUUCUUCUAAUGUUUCAUGUAUUCAGUCUUCAUUGGAGCUUGAUCAUUAUUUGUAUCCCGGAUAAAGGUGAUGAAUCAGGGCCAAUCAUACUUCAUUUGGAUUCUUUGAGUCUUCACUCUAGCAGAUCACUAUUUGAUAACAUCAAAAGUUCUUAAACAUAUCACAGCUUCCAUAUCUUGUGACUUCACUACCAUCCUAUGUUACAAGUAGAUAUUUUUCUUAUGUUCUUGUAACUUGUAAGCAUAUAUAUAUUUGGUUAAAUCAUGUUAAUUUGCCUGGUAUUUCUUUUUUCAAUUUGUUUAAUAUUGUCUUAUGACACUACUAUUUUGUAUUUGUUUUCUCCUGCUUCUUUUAUAUUACAUGUUGCUAUUCUAUCUCUACCUUUUAGGUUUGCAAUCUUUACAAGUAAUUCGGGUGUAGUUUUAUGGAAUUAAAUUAAGUAAAGAAAAAUUAAAAAAGAAGCAAGAUAAUAGCAAUCUUUACAAGUAAUUCACCUUCUCUUUGCAUCGCAUCAUUGAGAGAGAUUUAUCUUUACACGGAAAAUGGCUAUGAAUUUGUUGAAACAAUUUAAGGAGGAAGAUGCUGCACAAAAAGAAUUGGUCAAUGAUGUAAAUAGUGUAAGAGAUGAUAUGCAAGCGAAUGCUUCUGGAGCUGGGCUUGCAACCAAUAAUCUGGGACAUAACAUGCCAAGGGACCCAAGAAAAUGUAGGACAAAAGGGGGGACUUCACAGUCCAAUAAAAGAAAACAUCGAUGUGGACAGUGUGGCAUGGAGGACCACAAUCGAACAACUUGUCGUGUUCAUCGUGGCAUUUCAUAGUUAGAAGGCCGUGGAAAUGACACAUUUGAUAAUGACUUGGGUGAUCACAUGAACAUUGAAGAUGACUCAUUGGUAAGUAUUUUUACCAAUGAGGUAUGACAGUUUUAAUUGCUGCUUAUUAGCUAAUACUAAUGAUAUUAUAUUGCUGAUAUUGUAGGUAUAUGAUGAGAAUGCUUUGUACAGUAGCAAUGAAAUGCUGUAAUAAGAUAUAGUUAAUGGUUUAAGUUUCUGGUAUUCUCUAAUUUUUAUUUUAUUUGGGAUUGGUGUUUUUUUUUUUAAUUUAUUUUUGUUAUAUUUAAUGUUAUUGGAAUUCAGCUUUUGCGAUGGUUGUUGUUGUCCGUGUUUAUGACUAAAGGUUGAGGUUUGUACCCUUUUUAUGGCAUCAUAGAAAUGUGAAGCUGUUGCUUUUUUAUUCCAUCAUAAAAAUGAAAAAAGAAAAAUUCGCUAUCCUUCAUUUGUUAGUGAAUUUGUUGUGUUCUUUGUCAAAUUGAUCUAUUCAAAUAUUAUGUUUCUUACAUGUUAGACUAUUGCUAUUUACUAUUAUGAACCAAAGUUUGAAGUUCUGCUUAGCUUUUCUUCUUCUGAUAGUGGAUAUCAAGAUUAGGGACCAAAGUUAGAAAACUUGGAGUUUAACCAAAAUUAGACUAGCUAAAGAGACGGCCUUAAUGAUGAAUCAGCAGUUUAGAGUACUAAAAUGCAUUUUAGCUAAAGAGAUUAGUAUGUGGUGGAUAUUCAUGUCUUGUUCUCAAGAAUUAAUCGUUGGAUUUAUCAUC